GAUGAAGAACGCAGCGAAAUGCGAUACGUAAUGUGAAUUGCAGAAUUCAGUGAAUCAUCGAAUCUUUGAACGCAUAUUGCGCUCUCUGGUAUUCCGGAGAGCAUGCUUGUUUGAGUAUCAGUAAACACCUCAACUCCCUUAUCUUUUUUGAAAUUGGAGCUGGACUUGAGUGAUCCCAACGCUUUCUUCCAAGAAAGUGGCGGGUUGCUUGAAAUGCAGGUGCAGCUGAACUUUUCUCUGAGCUAUAAGCAUAUCUAUUUAGUCUGCCUAAAAAACAGAUUAUUACCUUUGCUGCAGCUAACAUAAAGGAGACUAGUUCUUGUGCUGACUGAUGCAGGAUUCACAGAGACAGCUUCGGCUGACUUUGUAAACUCGAUCUCAAAUCAAGUAAGACUACCCGCUGAACUUAAGCAUAUCAAUAAGCGGAGGA
rnacentral:misc_RNA from 1 species